ACAAAACGCCGGGCGCCCAUCUCGCUUCCUGCGGGCCGCCGGCGCUUGAUUCGGGUUCGCCAUUCUGGGCCGCGUGAUAUCCCGGUGCCGGCUGG
rnacentral:sRNA from 1 species